rnacentral:rRNA from 1 species
AUAUCAUAACGAAGAGGUAUCGUAAUUGAAGAGGUUUGGAAAGACCCACCACAGAAGGUAAUAGUCCUGUAUGUUAAACGAGAAGACUUUAGAUAUGAUCCAGAGUACUACGGGACACGUGAAACCCUGUGGGAAGCAGGAGGGACCACCCUCCAAGGCUAAAUACUACCUAGUGACCGAUAGCGUAUAGUACCGUGAGGGAAAGGUGAAAAGA